rnacentral:rRNA from 1 species
UAGGGAAUCUUCGGCAAUGGACGAAAGUCUGACCGAGCAACGCCGCGUGAGUGAAGAAGGUUUUCGGAUCGUAAAACUCUGUUGUUAGAGAAGAACAAGGACGUUAGUAACUGAACGUCCCCUGACGGUAUCUAACCAGAAAGCCACGGCUAACUACGUGCCAGCAGCCGCGGUAAUACGUAGGUGGCAAGCGUUGUCCGGAUUUAUUGGGCGUAAAGCGAGCGCAGGCGGUUUCUUAAGUCUGAUGUGAAAGCCCCCGGCUGAACCGGGGAGGGUCAUUGGAAACUGGGAUACUUGAGUGCAGAAGAGGAGAGUGGAAUUCCAUGUGUAGCGGUGAAAUGCGUAGAUAUAUGGUGGAACACCAGUGGCGAAGGCGGCUCUCUGGUCUGUAACUGACGCUGAGGCUCGAAAGCGUGGGGAGCAAACAGG